rnacentral:tRNA from 1 species
GCAGAGGUCGCCUAGCUCGGUAUGGCGCCGGCCUUGAAAGCCGGUGAGCAUCGCUCACGGGGGUUCAAAUCCCUCCCUCUGCGCCA